rnacentral:RNase_P_RNA from 1 species
AAGGCGGGACGAUCUGUCGCGGCGGGAUAUCCUGCCGAGGAAAGUCCGCACAGGAAAGGGCACCCGUCUGCGGAAAGCGCAGUGGGGAGUAAUCUUCAGACAAGUUAACAGAGAAUGACCGCCGGUUUCCGGCAAGGGUGAAAACGCGGGGUAAGAGCCCACGACGCCGCAGGGCGACCUGCCGCGGGUAGCUUGUCCGGGCCUGCAAGACCAAAUAUACCGGCAGAUGAGGGCGGCCCGUCCGAUGCCGGGGGGUAGGUUGCGAAGAUAAAUGACAGAUUCAAAAACAGAAAGCGGCUUAUGGCCCCGCCUGUCCC